GACGAACGCUGGCGGCGUGCUUAACACAUGCAAGUCGAACGCUGAAGCUCAGCUUUUGUUGGGUGGAUGAGUGGCGAACGGGUGAGUAACACGUGAGUAACCUGCCUCCUUCUUUGGGAUAACGCCCGGAAACGGGUGCUAAUACUGGAUAUUCACUGGUCUUCGCAUGGGGGUUGGUGGAAAGGGUUUUUCUGGUGGGGGAUGGGCUCGCGGCCUAUCAGCUUGUUGGUGGGGUGAUGGCCUACCAAGGCUUUGACGGGUAGCCGGCCUGAGAGGGUGACCGGUCACAGUGGGACGGAGAUACGGCCCAGACUCGUACGGGAGGCAGCAGUGUGGAAUAUUGCACAAUGGGCGAAAGCCUGAUGCAGCGACGCCGCGUGAGGGAUGGAGGCCUUCGGGUUGUGAACCUCUUUCGCUCAUGGUCAAGCCGCAACAAUGGUUGUGGUGAGGGUAGUGGGUAAAGAAGCGCCGGCUAACUACGUG
rnacentral:rRNA from 1 species